rnacentral:rRNA from 1 species
UUAUCAUAUCAUAAGCGGAGGAAAAGAAACCAACAGGGAUUCCCCUAGUAACGGCGAGUGAAGCGGGAACAGCUCAAAUUUGAAAUCUGGCCCUUGGGUCCGAGUUGUAAUUUGCAGAGGAUGCUUUUGGUGCGGUGCCUUCCGAGUUCCCUGGAACGGGACGCCUUAGAGGGUGAGAGCCCCGUACGGUUGGACACCAAGCCUAUGUAAAGCUCCUUCGACGAGUCGAGUAGUUUGGGAAUGCUGCUCAAAAUGGGAGGUAUAUUUCUUCUAAAGCUAAAUAUUGGCCAGAGACCGAUAGCGCACAAGUAGAGUGAUCGAAAGAUGAAAAGCACUUUGAAAAGAGGGUUAAAUAGCACGUGAAAUUGUUGAAAGGGAAGGAUUUAUGACCAGACUUUUUCUAGGGGGAUCAUCCGGUGUUCUCACCGGUGCACUUCCCCUAGUUGAGGCCAGCAUCGGUUUCUGUCGGGGGAUAAAAGCUUUAGGAAUGUGGCUCCCUCCGGGGAGUGUUAUAGCCUGUUGCAUAAUACCCUGACGGGGACCGAGGUUCGCGCAUUGCAAGGAUGCUGGCGUAAUGGUUAUUAAUCACCCGUCUUGAAACACGGACCAAGGAGUCGAACAUUUGUGCGAGUGUUUGGGUGUUAAACCCUCACGCGUAAUGAAAGUGAACGGAGGUGAGAGCCUUUCGGGGUGCAUCAUCGACCGAUCCUGAUGUCUUCGGAUGGAUUUGAGUAAGAGCAUUAAUGUUCGGACCCGAAAGAUGGUGAACUAUGCGUGGAUAGGGUGAAGCCAGAGGAAACUCUGGUGGAGGCUCGCAGCGGUUNUGACGUGCAAAUCGAUCGUCAAAUCUGCGCAUGGGGGGCGAAAGACUAAUCGAACCAUCUAGUAGCUGGUANGCAGAAUUUUCUC